AAGUGUUUGGAGGGUUUCCGCCCUUCAGUGCUGCAGCUAACGCAUUAAGCACUCCGCCUGGGGAGUACGACCGCAAGGUUGAAACUCAAAGGAAUUGACGGGGGCCCGCACAAGCGGUGGAGCAUGUGGUUUAAUUCGAAGCUACGCGAAGAACCUUACCAGGUCUUGACAUCUUCUGCCAAUCUUAGAGAUAAGACGUUCCCUUCGGGGACAGAAUGACAGGUGGUGCAUGGUUGUCGUCAGCUCGUGUCGUGAGAUGUUGGGUUAAGUCCCGCAACGAGCGCAACCCUUAUUAUCAGUUGCCAGCAUUCAGUUGGGCACUCUGGUGAGACUGCCGGUGACAAACCGGAGGAAGGUGGGGAUGACGUCAAAUCAUCAUGCCCCUUAUGACCUGGGCUACACACGUGCUACAAUGGACGGUACAACGAGUUGCGAAGUCGUGAGGCCAAGCUAAUCUCUUAAAGCCGUUCUCAGUUCGGAUUGUAGGCUGCAACUCGCCUACAUGAAGUUGGAAUCGCUAGUAAUCGCGGAUCAGCAUGCCGCGGUGAAUACGUUCCCGGGCCUUGUACACACCGCCCGUCACACCAUGAGAGUUUGUAACACCCAAAGCCGGUGGGGUAACCUUCGGGAGCCAGCCGUCUAAGGUGGGACAGAUGAUUAGGGUGAAGUCGUAACAAGAGCCAG
rnacentral:rRNA from 2 species